GGGGGUGACUGGCUUUGACAGCAUGUAGAAGCGGUAGGUAAGCAUGCAGAGUUUUGGUGUUGAAACUCUAUAAUCGCAACAGCAUCGACCUAUAAUUGGCGAAAAUAACAAUUACGCUCUCGCUGCGUAAGCUGAAGUACAGUAGGCUUCCUUAAUUCGCCUCAAAGAGGAGGCGAACGAGACAUCGGCCCAUUGCCCCGUUCCGAGACGUUUGGAUCAGCCGGUGCUAAGAAAUUCGGAAAUAGGAGUGGGGGAGUCCCGACCACACUCCGAGAUUCAGGGACUAAGGCUAUGGUUGGUAGUCGUGAGCCUGCCAUAGCUCGAAAACCAAGUCAAUGACUAAGCAUGUAGAAAGCUUAUUGAUUCCAUGUUUGGACGAGGGUUCAAACCCCUCCACCUCCACUA
rnacentral:tmRNA from 1 species